rnacentral:rRNA from 1 species
UGGGGAAUAUUGCACAAUGGGCGCAAGCCUGAUGCAGCCAUGCCGCGUGUAUGAAGAAGGCCUUCGGGUUGUAAAGUACUUUCAGCGGGGAGGAAGGGAGUAAAGUUAAUACCUUUGCUCAUUGACGUUACCCGCAGAAGAAGCACCGGCUAACUCCGUGCCAGCAGCCGCGGUAAUACGGAGGGUGCAAGCGUUAAUCGGAAUUACUGGGCGUAAAGCGCACGCAGGCGGUUUGUUAAGUCAGAUGUGAAAUCCUCGGGCUCAACCUGUGAACUGCAUCUGAUACUGGCAAGCUUGAGUCUCGUAGAGGGGGGUAGAAUUCCAGGUGUAGCGGUGAAAUGCGUAGAGAUCUGGAGGAAUACCGGUGGCGAAGGCAGCCCCCUGGACGAAGACUGACGCUCAGGUGCGAAAGCGUGGGGAGCAAACAGG